GAAAGCCGUAUGAGGGAAAACCUCACGUACGGUUUGAUGAGGAGGGGCUGAAUUUGUUCAGCCCUUUACUCUAAU
rfam:Paenibacillus sp. IHB B 3415 contig_016, whole genome shotgun sequence.